CUCGCAAUGAAACUCUUCCGAUUUGGUGCAGCGAGUGUUCCCGCCUGAAAGCCGAGUUUGGUUUCAAGCCACCCUGGACAACUGCUGUAUGAGGCGCCGUUUCUCGGGAGGACCAGUGGGAAGGUCAUGCAGAUGGUAGCAGCAAUUUCACAAUGCCCAGCCUUGGCGCCCCCCAUCAAGAGCAAGCCACUUGCGUUCGCCUUCAGACAGAUGGUUAAUGUCUUCUUGAAAGCGGUUGAGAAGACAACAUUGAUGCAAGAUUCCAGCAAUGCCAUGCGCUGCAUUUAUUGGUCAAGAUGCUCAGAGAAUGGAGUCCCUGCACCUCGUGGUUAACCGUGAACAUUUCUUUUUCUUUUGGAAAGCUAAAGGCCAUUUGCUGCAUCACUUGCAUUUUUGCAGCUCAGAUGUGUACUAUAUUUUUCUAAUUUUGAAUCAAUAUUGGCUGUUCAGUAUAAAAAAUGACGUACAGCGUGAAGGACAAGGACUGCGAGAGACACACUCUACUGACUUUCAACAAUAUUUUAUUGCGUUGCCACAUUGUGUGUGUAUACACAGAGGGGUCAUGCGCAGAAAAUGAAAGCCAGCCACAAGGGGUGUUCUAACAGCAAGUCAUUGUAAAAAGAACAUGGUCACUUGAAAAA